GCGUUCAGCGUCAUAGGCGGACAUGCAGACCUCUGCGCUAUGUUGGCCUGUCAUACCAUAUGACAUGACAGGUUUAACAACUCUGAAAUUUGCACACAUCGUCUGGCACAUAUGAAACAAUUACACUGGUACUCACAAAAUUUUAUGUAGUUUGAAAUAGUUUUAUUUGACAGAUUUCUUUUAUGGAACUGUCAAAUUAACAUAUUUUGAGGUUUCAUUAAAAUUUGUGAAUACGGCCGUUAAUGUUUAGAAAGUUCUCUGAACUUUCGGGGAGCAAUAUCGAUUUGGACCAAACUUGGCAUGGAUUUUAAAACGACUCAAGAAGUGAACUCUGGAGAUCGACUUAUAUGGGUGCUAUAUCACCUUAAAGACCGAUGUGAUCCUAACGGGGAAGUUUGCCCCUGUUCCUUAGUGGAAUGUUCAUGGGCAAAAUUUGCAUUUGAACCUAAUUGGGUGUGGUUGUUUGAAGAAAUAUUAUCUGAUUCGAUGUGUCCUCUCAUAAUAUCCGAAUUUAUGUGCCCAAGAAGUCAAAUUGUGAAAUCGACCGUUUUGUAUCAUUUUUGGCAAAAAUGUGCAAAAUUUUAGCGAAAUCGAAUAAUUACUACUACCGUCAAAUCUAUCGAAAGGAGCUAUAUCAUAACCAGUGUUGCCACUCAACACUGAAAACAAUUUAAGGAAAAAUCCUUCCAAACUCAAACCUGUUACAAUCAAUUUCAUUCUCAAUUUCAAAUUCCAACCCCAUGGCAGCCGGUUGUACGUACUGGAUUGACCCGAUGAAGUCCUUCAUCGGCAAGGGAUGUCGCCUCAGUG
rnacentral:sRNA from 1 species